AUAAAAUAUGAGACAUGUUCAUGUAUCAUUGACUUAGUAUGUCAGAUGUAAAGAAUGUUAAAUACCCAAUCAUCUGUCAGACAAUACCUAAUGACGUGUGGACUUAUAGUAUGACCACCCACGUAUUUUCGAAGAUUUUUAACUAAAACAAAUUUUACAUCGUACUUAAAAUACGAGGUCACGCGACAUGAUGGCAAACACGAGUGAAGCACCGCAACGUGGCGAGAUAAUGAUGAAAGUUGGAAUUAUGAACGUAUCAGGGACCCACCUUGUGAAGUCUUGAAUGUACUUGAAGGUAAGGUUGAUUAUAAUUACCAUGACGAGACCUUUACCACUUCGUGCAAGUCCUUCUUGCAAAUUUGCUGGUUGUUUGUUCAACUGUUCUUGCCUUCUACGUUGAUAAUCUUUAUCAAAUGUGAGAGCAGCGAUACCCUUACCUGUGAAAUAUUUCAAUUUCAUAUACUCAUUCGUGGAAUAGCC
rnacentral:misc_RNA from 1 species